GGCAAUGGGCUGCCAUGUUGUGAGCUGCCUCAUGGGGAAGAGGUUCAUAUGGGAGGAACUGAGGGAGUCCUCCAGAAAACAGCCAGUGAAGAACUGAGACCCUCAGUCCAACAGCCUGUGAGGAACUCAAUCCUGCUGACAACCAUAUGAAUGAGCUUGGAAGCAGGUCCUUCCCCAGUGAAGCCUUCAUGUGAGACUGCAGCCCACUUGACACUUUGAUUUGUAGCCUUGUGACAGACCCCAAGCCAGAGGAGCCAGAGACCUAAAGGUAUGAGAGGGACAAGGAAAGAGGGUGGUGAUCCUGUUGCCCUUGUGGGUAGAACCGCGGAGGCAGUGGUGCAGUUCUCAACCAUGACCACAAGGUGGAGUCCGUAGUAAGCGGAAAUGGUUUACUCUGGGUGGAAGGGGACGCGGCAGGAUCCUGGAGCAGAUUCGGUGGCAGUCGCAGAACCCUCCGUCCAGUUCUGCAGGAACCAUCAGUAUAAAUUCAGAAUGUAUUUCUUGACACUGUCCAUGGAAAAGACCUAGAAACAGUGACCAACCCUAUAAUAAUGAGCACCCCGAGUCUCUAGACUGUGGUCUCAUGUGACCAUUUCCCACUAAAAGGAACCAGGACUAUUUGGAGAAAUCACUGGGUCCAGGUCUUGGGCAGGAAACAUCUGAGAUGCACGUGGAAGAACUUGUCAUACCACAGCACUCCGAAGCUUUCAGUGAAAACUGAGGUCAUGCUAAAAGGAUUCGGGAGCUGACUUGACUGACCAAAGAUGGGGUGAUUUCAACAUCAACAUGGAUAAAAACUGCAAGGGAUUAAAACACAUCAAAUAUAUUUAGAGCUAUGAGUUAAUAAUAUUGCUAAAAAGAAAUGUGUUUCUUCUGUUGGAGGAU